GGAAAGAGGAGUGGCGGACGGGUGAGUAACACGUGGGUAACCUACCCAUCAGAGGGGGAUAACACUUGGAAACAGGUGCUAAUACCGCAUAACAGUUUAUGCCGCAUGGCAUAAGAGUGAAAGGCGCUUUCGGGUGUCGCUGAUGGAUGGACCCGCGGUGCAUUAGCCAGUUGGUGAGGUAACGGCUCACCAAGGCCACGAUGCAUAGCCGACCUGAGAGGGUGAUCGGCCACACUGGGACUGAGACACGGCCCAGACUCCUACGGGAGGCAGCAGUAGGGAAUCUUCGGCAAUGGACGAAAGUCUGACCGAGCAACGCCGCGUGAGUGAAGAAGGUUUUCGGAUCGUAAAACUCUGUUGUUAGAGAAGAACAAGGACGUUAGUAACUGAACGUCCCCUGACGGUAUCUAACCAGAAAGCCACGGCUAACUACGUGCCAGCAGCCGCGGUAAUACGUAGGUGGCAAGCGUUGUCCGGAUUUAUUGGGCGUAAAGCGAGCGCAGGCGGUUUCUUAAGUCUGAUGUGAAAGCCCCCGGCUCAACCGGGGAGGGUCAUUGGAAACUGGGAGACUUGAGUGCAGAAGAGGAGAGUGGAAUUCCAUGUGUAGCGGUGAAAUGCGUAGAUAUAUGGAGGAACACCAGUGGCGAAG
rnacentral:rRNA from 1 species